GCCUUAUCAAGAGCGGUGGAGGAACAGGUCCUGUGAAGCCCGGCAACCUAAUUGUGAUAUAAUCAAGAAAGGUGCUAAUUCCUGCGGUUUAUCCGAGAGAUGAGGA
rfam:Ruminococcus sp. 37_24 Ley3_66761_scaffold_1437, whole genome shotgun sequence.